rnacentral:rRNA from 1 species
GGAAUCUUGCGCAAUGGGGGAAACCCUGACGCAGCAACGCCGCGGGAGUGAGGAAGGCCUUCGGGUCGUAAAGCUCUGUCAGAUGGGAAGAAAUGGGUGGGGGCUAAUAUCCUCCAUCCUUGACGGUACCAUCAGAGGAAGCACUGGCUAACUCCGUGCCAGCAGCCGCGGUAAUACGGGGGGUGCAAGCGUUGUUCGGAAUCAUUGGGCGUAAAGCGCGCGCAGGCGGCUUGGUAAGUCAGAUGUGAAAUCCCUGGGCUUAACACAGGAAGUGCAUUUGAUACUGUCUCGCUAGAGUACGGGAGAGGAAAGUGGAAUUCCUGGUGUAGAGGUGAAAUUCGUAGAUAUCAGGGGGAACACCGGUGGCGAAGGCGACUUUCUGGCCCGAUACUGACGCUCAGGCGCGAAAGCGUGGGGAGCAAACAG